UUUUUGGGUGUAAACACAUUCACGCAGGGUUUGCAGGCGAUUCAUAUGGAUGACAGUUGUUGUAAUUGUCACCAGCACACAUGUCAACGCACAGACCAAGCAGCAAACUCCACAAACCUUCAACUAAAUCAAAAUCUAAACUCAUCACGCAUAAUCCAGUUACCAUUGUGGCCGGAACAAAAGUCGGUAUUGUUUCGAAAUAGCCCAGUGUUGAUGUAUAUGAUCGCAGCAGGAAGUACACAGCAAGGAAAAGCGCGCCGAGGAUGGUGGCCAGGCCACCACAGGCACAACACCAGAAGACAUACUUGCGUAUUCGUCCACUGUUGGGGCUUGCUGUAAUAAAAAACAACGAAACAAAGAUUAGCAGACGUAAAAUCAUAAAAGUUGAAGGUUUGAUUGCAUACCGGGUUGCAGCGUGUAGGGUAAUGGUUGUAUGGGCACGUGCCCCACGUGCGGCACGUGGUACUGCACCACCUGCAUCACGGGAUAGCCGUGCAUUUUGUUUUUUGUGUGUUCAGAGAAUCAACGCGAUGUUUUUCGGGGACGACGCGAUGGUAAACUGGUCGAGCGCAGGACAAGUGCAUCUUCACGCACGGGAUUUUCAUCAAUCCAGAAGUGGAUUUGUGGAAUUUUCGUUUUAUUUUAUUUAUUUUGGUCCGGAUCUGUGUUGUUACCAUGACAACUUUAGCUCUUUCUCUCGGAUAGUCGAUAUUCUACCCCUGUGCGCGGGCAACAGGCUAUUCUACCCUCCCCUCACCCCUAAAUGAGUAUAAAUAUAUACAAUGUGUUUAAAAUACUCACUGUCUCUUUGUCGAUACCGUCCACUCAAACUACCAUCAUAUCUGGGUCGUGGGGUGGUCUUGGUGGUAAUGCCGGCGGUAACGGACUGAUUUCUAUCCGAUCAUCCGCCUCAAUCUUCCUCUCCGGAUCCUGUCCGCCAUUUUCCGUAUCGUUGACGUUCUGCAAAUGACAUGUGCAGUUCGCCAUUGUUUUCGGCGCUUGUGGCGCUGGUGUAUGCACAUGCACAUGCACCUGACUAAGCGCAUGCGCAGCGGUGUGUUGAUAGUGUUGAUGAGCGUGCGUAUGUUGAUACUGUAUUGAUACAGGCGAGAUUCGCUCGCGGUCGCGUUCAGUCUUAUUGGUUUCGAGUUUAUCAACGCCGCAAUGGCAGCUGAUGGUGUCGCUCGACUGGUAGGCGUGCUCCAGGGGCAGCGGCUUGAGAUCCGAUGGUGACGGGGACGCCAUUUUGAUUUGAUUCACAUCUAAUGGGGUUGUUCUUGGAAUAUCUGGGUGGGGACGAGGUGAAUUCCUCAACGUUGGCGUUCACACCAAUGAUAAUCACACCUUUUCGGCGUUUCAAAGCGUUUUUGUGAGGAUUUCGGUGCGCAGGUAGUCGGACCUGUGCGUGAUCUACCUGCGUGCGUCUCACAUAACCUAAAUUCAAAGCUAUGGGUAUCCAUUACAGAAAUUCAUGGUGUUUUUGUGAUUUUGGUAUAUUUACUACCUACAAACGUGGGAAUUCGCAUUUUCAGGAGUAAUGUCAUAGAAAUCAUUGUGUUUGGAAGCCAUUCAACCACUUUUGAUACAUCAACGCAUUGUUGCAUCACGCAUCGUUGCGGAAAUUUGUAUUGAAAGGGAUUUGAAUGAUUUCUGACAAUAAGGGCACAUUUCACGCAGGUGUGCAAUAAAUUCUUAUAUCUACGA